UACAGAGGGGGCAAGCGUUGUUCGGAAUUACUGGGCGUAAAGGGCGCGUAGGCGGCCUUCUAAGUCGAACGUGAAAUCCCCGGGCUCAACCCGGGAACUGCGUCCGAUAGUGGAAGGCUUGAAUCCGGGAGAGGGAUGCGGAAUUCCAGGUGUAGCGGUGAAAUGCGUAGAUAUCUGGAGGAACACCGGUGGCGAAGGCGGCAUCCUGGACCGGCAUUGACGCUGAGGCGCGAAAGCCAGGGGAGCAAACGGG
rnacentral:rRNA from 1 species